CACGUAGGGGACGAGCGUUGUCCGGAUUCAUUGGGCGUAAAGCGCGCGUAGGCGGUCUGUUGCGUCCGCUGUGAAAACUCGGGGCUUAACCCCGAGCCUGCAGUGGAUACGGGCAGACUAGAGGUAGGUAGGGGAGAAUGGAAUUCCCGGUGUAGCGGUGAAAUGCGCAGAUAUCCGGAGGAACACCGGUGGCGAAGGCGGCUUCCUGGACCGACACUGACGCUGAUGCGCGAAAGCUAGGGGAGCAAACGGG
rnacentral:rRNA from 1 species